rnacentral:rRNA from 1 species
UACGGGGGGAGCAAGCGUUGUUCGGAUUUACUGGGCGUAAAGGGCGCGUAGGCGGCCACCGCAAGUCGGUUGUGAAAUCUCUGGGCUUAACCCAGAAAGGUCAACCGAUACUGCGGGGCUAGAGUGCAGAAGGGGCAACUGGAAUUCUCGGUGUAGCGGUGAAAUGCGUAGAUAUCAAGAGGAACACCUGAGGUGAAGACGGGUUGCUGGGCUGACACUGACGCUGAGGCGCGAAAGCCAGGGGAGCAAACGGG